rnacentral:rRNA from 1 species
UACGUAGGCAGCAAGCGUUGUUCGGAGUUACUGGGCGUAAAGGGUGCGUAGGCGGGUCUUUAAGUCAGGGGUGAAAUCCUGGAGCUCAACUCCAGAACUGCCUUUGAUACUGAAGAUCUUGAGUUCGGGAGAGGUGAGUGGAACUGCGAGUGUAGAGGUGAAAUUCGUAGAUAUUCGCAAGAACACCAGUGGCGAAGGCGGCUCACUGGCCCGAUACUGACGCUGAGGCACGAAAGCGUGGGGAGCAAACAGG